UACGGGGGGGGCAAGCGUUGUUCGGAAUUACUGGGCGGAAAGGGCUCGUAGGUGGCCAACUAAGUCAGACGUGAAAUCCCUCAGCUUAACUGGGGAACUGCGUCUGAUACUGGAUGGCUUGGAUUUGGGAGAGGGAUGCGGAAUUCCAGGUGUAGCGGUGAAAUGCGUAGAUAUCUGGAGGAACACCGGUGGCGAAGGCGGCAUCCUGGACCAACAUUGACGCUGAGGAGCGAAAGCCAGGGGAGCAAACGGG
rnacentral:rRNA from 1 species